GUCAAUGUACCUGCAGAAGAGGAGGGGAAUCGGCGACUCACGUGGGAGUAGGCGAUUCGGGCUCCUUAGUUUACUCUGGUUGGGGUGUGUCAAGUGUGAAUGAGUUGAGGGGAGAGGUCCCCCAAGGACCCCUUUUAUAGGGUCUUGGGGGACGUUUCCCCAUUCAUUAGCGUGGGACCCACCCCAUUAAGGUAUCCUAUUAAGGAAUGCCUUAAUGGGGAGGGUCCGCUCAAGUAACGUCUGGGAGUCGGCGAUUCAGGUGUGGGAAUCGCCGACCCAGAGGUUCAAUCGCCGACUCCCCAUGAGCCUAGUGGAAGCCUACCAGAACUGUCCACGAGGCCUAGAGUCAGCGAUUCACCCCUGGAGUCGGCGACUUGGUAGUCCCAAUCGGCGACUCCCAGGUGCUGCCUUGAGUACUUGACGUAGACACUCCUUCCGGAUUCGUGGAACUCUCCGGGGGUCCGGCAGCAAGUGACGGAACCCUAGUUCUUGUUGAAGGGCGUUGCUGGGAGUGACUGACGUGUUCAGGCAUGUCUCACCAGUACUCCCCCUUGAAGAGAGCAUGGCAAACACCCGUGUAGCCUCAGUCUCCCCCCCCGAGCAAGAUAGUACGUGUGGUCCAUAUCAGAUGGACUGAUUCACCCCUGAAUCUAGUCAUUGUGCCCACAGCGACACUAAUGACUCCGCGUGGUCCAUGCAUUAUCAGAUGGACUGAUUCGUUAUCAGAAUCUAGUUCCAGGCCAACGGAACUACAUGUUUAUAGUCUUACUCUGAUCAAGAGCGACUUUUGCUGUGUGGAUCUUUGCCGAAGCAACAGAUCGCGUGGAUUCACUU
rnacentral:lncRNA from 1 species